rnacentral:rRNA from 1 species
CCUACGAGCGGCAGCAGUGAGGAAUAUUGGUCCAUGGACGCGAGUCUGAACCAGCCAAGUAGCGUGAAGGAUGACUGCCCUAUGGGUUGUAAACUUCUUUUAUAAAGGAAUAAAAUGCGGCUCGUGUGCCUUUUUGUAUGUACUUUAUGAAUAAGGAUCGGCUAACUCCGUGCCAGCAGCCGCGGUAAUACGGGGGAUCCGCGCGUUAUCCGGAUUUAUUGGGUUUAAAGGGAGCGUAGAUGGGUUUUUAAGUCAGUUGUGAAAGUUUGCGGCUCAACCGUGAAAUUGCAAUUGACACUGGCAGUCUUGAGUGCAGUUGAGGUAGGCGGAAUUCGUGGUGUAGCGGUGAAAUGCUUAG